rnacentral:misc_RNA from 1 species
UGACGUGGGGGGGUUGAUCCCCCCCCCCGGCACUGGGUGCAAGCCCCAGAAACCGACGCCUAUUUAAACAGACGUUAAGAACCGGCGCCGACCCGGCGACCGGCCAAAAGGUGGUGGAUGGGUGAUGCCAGGGUUGGUAGGUCGUAAAUCCCGGUCAUCUUGGUAGCCACUAUAGGUGGGUCUUAAGGGUUGGUUAAGGUCCCUCUGGCGCUUGUGGCGAGAAAGCGCACGGUCCACAGGUGUUGGCCCUACCGGUGUGAAUAAGGGCCCGACGUCAGGCUCGUCGUUAAACCGAGCCCACCUCCCACCUGGGCAAACAACGCCCACGUACGGCCCACGUCGCCCUUCAAUGUCUCUCUUGACCAAUAGGCUUAGCCGGCGAGUUGACAAGGGCCAGUGGGGGCUGGGCGGCAGGGGAAGGACCCCUGUCGCUGCCCUUCCCGGUGGAGUGGGAAAAGCAUGGGGCCACCCAGCUCCGCGGCGGCCUGCAGCCGGGGUAGCCCAAGAACCUUCGGGUGAGGGCGGGUGGCAUUUUUCUUCCUUGACCGAUCAUGGCAGUCCUUCUGCUUCUACUCGUGGUGGAGGCCGGGGCCAUCCUGGCCCCGGCCACACAUGCUUGUGGAGCGAACGGGCAAUAUUUCCUCACAAAUUGUUGCGCCUUGGAGGACAUAGGGUUCUGCCUGGAAGGCGGAUGCCUUGUGGCCUUGGGUUGCACAGUUUGUACUGACCGCUGCUGGCCACUGUAUCAGGCGGGGUUAGCCGUGCGGCCUGGCAAGUCCGCGGCCCAACUGGUUGGGGAACUCGGGAGCCUUUACGGGCCCUUGUCGGUGUCUGCCUACGUGGCGGGCAUCCUCGGGCUCGGAGAGGUUUAUUCGGGUGUACUCACCGUUGGGGUAGCGUUGACGCGACGGGUCUACCCGGUCCCGAACUUGACGUGUGCAGUAGAAUGUGAGCUGAAGUGGGAAAGUGAGUUUUGGAGAUGGACUGAGCAGUUGGCCUCCAAUUACUGGAUUCUGGAGUAUCUCUGGAAGGUGCCUUUUGACUUCUGGCGCGGAGUGAUGAGCCUGACACCCCUACUGGUGUGUGUGGCGGCCCUUCUCCUGCUCGAGCAAAGGAUUGUUAUGGUUUUUCUCUUGGUGACCAUGGCGGGGAUGUCGCAAGGCGCUCCCGCCUCGGUGAUGGGGUCUCGCCCCUUCGAACCUGGAUUGACCUGGCAGUCGUGUUCCUGCAAAUCGAAUGGGUCGCGCAUACCCACGGGGGAGCGGGUUUGGGACCGAGGGAAUGUCACACUCUUGUGUGAUUGCCCCAACGGCCCCUGGGUUUGGAACCCGGCCCUUUGCCAAGCAAUCGGCUGGGGUGACCCUAUCACUCAUUGGAGCCACGGACAACAUCAGUGGCCCCUUUCUUGUCCCCAGUAUGUCUACGGUGCCGUUUCAGUGACCUGCGUGUGGGGUUCCGUGUCUUGGUUUGCUUCCACCGGGGGGCGCGACUCGAAGAUCGAUGUGUGGAGUUUGGUGCCAGUUGGUUCUGCCAGCUGCACCAUAGCCGCCCUCGGGUCAUCGGAUCGCGACACGGUGGUCGAGCUCUCCGAGUGGGGGAUCCCUUGCGCCACCUGUAUUCUGGACCGUCGGCCCGCCUCGUGCGGCACCUGUGUGCGGGAUUGCUGGCCCGAGACCGGGUCGGUUCGUUUCCCUUUCCAUCGGUGCGGUGCGGGGCCGAGGCUGACAAGAGACUUGGAAGCUGUGCCCUUCGUCAACAGGACAACUCCCUUCACCAUAAGGGGCCCCCUGGGCAACCAGGGGAGAGGCAACCCGGUGCGGUCGCCCCUGGGUUUUGGGUCCUACACCAUGACCAAGAUCCGGGACUCCUUACAUCUGGUGAAAUGUCCCACCCCUGCCAUUGAGCCUCCCACUGGGACGUUUGGGUUCUUCCCCGGGACUCCCCCGCUAAACAACUGCAUGCUCUUGGGCACUGAGGUGUCCGAGGUGCUGGGCGGCGCGGGGCUCACGGGGGGGUUCUAUGAACCCCUGGUGCGACGGUGUUCAGAGUUAGCUGGGCGGCGAAAUCCGGUCUGUCCGGGGUUCGCGUGGCUUUCCUCGGGCAGGCCUGAUGGGUUUAUACAUGUUCAGGGUCACCUGCAGGAGGUCGAUGCGGGCAACUUCAUCCCGCCUCCUCGCUGGUUGCUGCUGGACUUUGUAUUUGUCCUACUCUAUCUGAUGAAGCUGGCUGAGGCUAGGCUGGUACCGCUGAUUCUUCUCCUGCUGUGGUGGUGGGUGAACCAGCUGGCGGUCCUCGGGCUGCCGGCGGCGCACGCUGCCGUGGCGGGGGAGGUCUUCGCGGGUCCAGCCUUGUCCUGGUGUCUUGGGCUCCCCUUCGUGAGUAUGAUACUGGGUUUGGCAAACUUGGUGUUGUACUUCCGUUGGAUGGGCCCACAGCGCCUGAUGUUUCUCGUGUUGUGGAAGCUCGCUCGGGGAGCAUUCCCACUGGCUUUACUGAUGGGGAUUUCAGCCACCCGCGGCCGCACCUCUGUGCUCGGAGCCGAAUUCUGCUUUGAUGUCACCUUCGAAGUGGACACAUCGGUUUUGGGAUGGGUGGUGGCCAGCGUGGUAGCCUGGGCCAUAGCGCUCCUUAGCUCUAUGAGCGCGGGAGGCUGGAGGCACAAAGCUGUGAUCUAUAGGACGUGGUGUAAAGGGUACCAGGCGCUGCGUCAGCGGGUAGUGCGGAGCCCCCUCGGGGAGGGGCGGCCCACGAAGCCGUUGACUAUCGCUUGGUGCUUGGCUUCCUACAUCUGGCCGGACGCUGUGAUGCUGGUGGUGGUGGGCCUGGUGCUCCUCUUUGGCCUGUUCGAUGCGUUGGACUGGGCCUUGGAGGAGCUACUGGUCUCCCGGCCUUCGUUGCGGCGCUUGGCUCGGGUGGUGGAAUGCUGUGUGAUGGCGGGUGAGAAGGCCACAACCGUCCGGCUGGUGUCCAAGAUGUGCUCGCGGGGGGCCUAUUUGUUCGAUCAUAUGGGCUCUUUUUCGCGGCCUGUUAAGGAACGCUUGCUGGAGUGGGACGCGGCGUUGGAACCCCUGUCAUUCACUAGGACGGACUGUCGCAUCAUAAGAGAUGCUGCUCGAACCCUGUCGUGCGGCCAGUGUGUCAUGGGCUUGCCCGUGGUAGCUCGCCGUGGUGAUGAGGUUUUGAUCGGCGUCUUUCAGGAUGUGAAUCAUUUGCCUCCAGGGUUUGUCCCCACUGCACCAGUAGUCAUCCGUCGGUGCGGUAAGGGCUUCCUUGGAGUCACGAAGGCCGCUUUGACUGGUCGGGACCCUGACCUACAUCCAGGGAAUGUCAUGGUAUUGGGGACGGCAACGUCGCGGAGCAUGGGAACAUGUCUCAACGGCUUGUUGUUCACCACUUUCCAUGGCGCCUCUUCCCGAACCAUCGCUACACCUGUGGGAGCCCUUAAUCCAAGGUGGUGGUCUGCCAGUGAUGAUGUGACCGUAUACCCACUUCCAGAUGGGGCCAGCUCGUUGACACCCUGCACUUGCCAGGCCGAGUCCUGUUGGGUCAUUAGAUCCGAUGGAGCUUUGUGCCAUGGCUUGAGCAAGGGAGACAAGGUGGAGCUGGACGUGGCCAUGGAGGUCUCCGACUUUCGUGGUUCGUCCGGUUCCCCUGUCCUGUGCGACGAAGGGCACGCAGUAGGAAUGCUCGUGUCAGUGCUCCACUCUGGGGGUCGGGUGACCGCGGCACGCUUCACUCGGCCGUGGACCCAAGUCCCGACAGACGCCAAGACCACCACUGAACCCCCACCGGUACCGGCAAAGGGAGUUUUCAAGGAGGCCCCGUUGUUUAUGCCGACGGGGGCCGGGAAGAGCACCCGGGUCCCGUUGGAGUACGGCAACAUGGGCCACAAAGUCCUAAUCUUAAACCCGUCGGUCGCUACUGUGAGGGCCAUGGGGCCCUACAUGGAGCGGUUGGCGGGGAAACAUCCCAGCAUUUACUGUGGGCACGACACAACAGCAUUCACAAGGAUCACUGAUUCCCCAUUGACGUAUUCUACCUAUGGAAGGUUUUUGGCCAACCCUAGGCAGAUGCUGAGGGGCGUCUCCGUGGUCAUAUGUGACGAGUGCCAUAGUCAUGACCCUACGGUGUUGCUGGGGAUUGGGAGAGUCAGGGAGUUGGCGCGUGGCUGCGGGGUCCAGUUGGUCCUCUACGCCACCGCCACCCCUCCUGGCUCCCCUAUGACCCAGCACCCGUCAAUCAUUGAGACAAAGUUGGAUGUAGGAGAGAUCCCCUUUUAUGGGCACGGCAUACCCCUUGAGCGGAUGCGGACCGGUAGGCACCUCGUGUUCUGUCAUUCAAAGGCAGAGUGCGAGCGCCUGGCCGGCCAAUUCUCUUCCAGGGGAGUCAACGCCAUUGCUUAUUAUCGGGGAAAGGACAGUUCAAUCAUCAAAGAUGGGGACCUCGUGGUGUGUGCUACAGACGCGCUCUCCACGGGGUACACUGGGAACUUCGAUUCUGUUACCGACUGUGGGUUGGUGGUGGAGGAGGUCGUUGAGGUGACCCUUGAUCCCACCAUUACCAUCUCCUUGCGCACAGUGCCCGCGUCGGCAGAACUGUCGAUGCAGCGGCGAGGUCGCACAGGUAGAGGUCGGUCCGGGCGGUACUACUACGCGGGCGUCGGCAAGGCGCCUGCGGGGGUGGUUCGGUCGGGGCCGGUCUGGUCGGCGGUGGAGACCGGAGUGACCUGGUAUGGAAUGGAACCUGACUUGACAGCAAACCUUCUGAGACUUUACGAUGACUGCCCUUACACCGCAGCCAUCGCUGCUGACAUCGGAGAAGCCGCAGUGUUUUUCUCAGGGCUCGCGCCCUUGAGGAUGCACCCCGAUGUUAGCUGGGCAAAAGUGCGCGGCGUCAAUUGGCCCCUCCUGGUGGGUGUUCAGCGGACGAUGUGUCGGGAAACACUGUCGCCCGGCCCGUCGGAUGACCCCCAGUGGGCAGGUCUGAAAGGUCCGAAUCCUGUCCCAUUACUGCUGAGGUGGGGCAAUGAUUUACCAUCGAGAGUGGCCGGCCACCACAUCGUGGACGACCUGGUCAGAAGGCUCGGUGUGGCGGAGGGUUAUGUCCGCUGCGAUGCUGGACCCAUCUUAAUGGUGGGGCUAGCUAUUGCGGGGGGGAUGAUCUACGCGUCCUACACCGGGUCCCUAGUGGUGGUGACAGACUGGGAUGUGAAGGGGGGUGGCAACCCCCUUUAUAGGAGUGGAGAUCAGGCCACGCCUCAACCUGUGGUGCAGGUCCCCCCGGUAGACCAUCGGCCGGGGGGGGAGUCCUCACCAUCAGAUGCCAAGACAGUGACAGAUGCGGUGGCAGCCAUCCAGGUGAACUGUGAUUGGUCAGUCAUGACCCUGUCGAUCGGGGAAGUGCUGGCCUUGGCACAGGCUAAGACAGCCGAGGCCUACACAGCUACCGCCAAAUGGCUCGCUGGCUGCUAUACGGGGACGCGGGCCGUCCCCACUGUUUCAAUUGUGGACAAGCUCUUCGCCGGAGGGUGGGCUGCGGUCGUGGGACACUGCCACAGCGUCAUAGCUGCGGCGGUGGCUGCUUACGGGGCCUCAAGGAGUCCCCCGCUGGCUGCGGCCGCUUCCUACCUUAUGGGGUUGGGCGUCGGAGGCAACGCACAGGCACGGUUGGCCUCUGCUCUCCUACUGGGGGCUGCGGGUACUGCUCUGGGGACCCCCGUGGUUGGUCUAACCAUGGCGGGGGCCUUCAUGGGCGGCGCCAGCGUGUCCCCAUCGCUGGUCACGGUCCUCUUGGGGGCUGUGGGCGGCUGGGAGGGCGUGGUCAACGCUGCUAGCCUUGUCUUCGACUUCAUGGCAGGGAAGUUGUCUACGGACGACCUGUGGUAUGCCAUCCCGGUGCUGACUAGCCCUGGGGCGGGCCUUGCGGGGAUCGCCCUGGGGUUGGUGCUGUACUCAGCUAACAACUCUGGCACUACUACAUGGUUGAACCGACUGCUGACCACACUUCCCCGGUCUUCUUGCAUCCCUGACAGUUACUUCCAACAGGCCGACUAUUGUGACAAAGUCUCAGCCAUGCUCAGGCGCUUGAGCCUCACUCGCACCGUGGUGGCCCUGGUCAACAGGGAACCCAGGGUGGAUGAGGUUCAGGUUGGGUAUGUCUGGGACCUGUGGGAAUGGAUCAUGCGUCAAGUGCGUAUGGUCAUUUCAAGGGUCCGGGCACUCUGUCCCGUGGUGUCGCUACCUCUGUGGCACUGCGGGGAGGGGUGGUCCGGAGAAUGGUUGUUGGACGGUCAUGUGGAAAGCCGCUGUCUUUGUGGGUGUGUGAUCACCGGAGAUGUGCUGAAUGGGCAACUCAAAGAUCCAGUUUACUCAACCAAGCUGUGCCGGCAUUAUUGGAUGGGGACCGUUCCUGUCAACAUGCUGGGCUACGGGGAAACCUCGCCCCUGCUCGCCUCUGACACGCCCAAGGUGGUGCCCUUUGGCACGUCUGGGUGGGCGGAGGUGGUGGUGACCCCAACCCACGUGGUGGUACGGCGGACCUCAUGCUAUAAACUGCUGCGCCAGCAAAUACUCUCUGCAGCUGUAGCUGAGCCCUAUUACGUGGAUGGCAUACCUGUCUCGUGGGAGGCCGACGCGCGAGCGCCGGCCAUGGUCUACGGUCCUGGCCAAAGUGUUACCAUUGACGGGGAGCGCUACACCUUACCGCACCAGUUGCGGAUGAGGAACGUGGCGCCCUCUGAGGUUUCAUCAGAGGUCAGCAUCGAGAUCGGGACGGAGACUGAAGACUCAGAACUGACUGAGGCAGACUUGCCACCCGCGGCAGCAGCCCUUCAAGCGAUAGAGAAUGCUGCGAGAAUUCUCGAACCGCAUAUUGAUGUCAUCAUGGAGGACUGCAGUACACCCUCUCUCUGUGGAAGUAGCCGAGAGAUGCCUGUGUGGGGAGAAGACAUACCCCGCACUCCAUCGCCUGCACUUAUCUCGGUUACGGAGAGCAGCUCAGAUGAGAAGACCCCGUCGGUGUCUUCCUCGCAGGAGGAUACCCCGUCCUCAGACUCAUUUGAAGUCAUCCAAGAGUCUGAUACUGCUGAGAGUGAGGAAAGCGUCUUCAACGUGGCUCUUUCCGUACUAAAAGCCUUAUUCCCACAGAGCGAUGCCACGCGUAAGCUAACGGUCAAGAUGUCAUGCUGCGUGGAGAAGAGCGUCACACGCUUCUUUUCCUUGGGGUUGACCGUAGCUGAUGUGGCUAGCCUGUGUGAGAUGGAAAUCCAGAACCAUACAGCCUAUUGUGACAAGGUGCGCACUCCGCUUGAAUUGCAGGUUGGGUGCUUGGUGGGCAAUGAACUUACCUUUGAAUGUGACAAGUGUGAAGCACGGCAAGAGACCUUGGCUUCCUUCUCCUACAUCUGGUCAGGUGUUCCACUGACUCGGGCCACACCGGCUAAACCUCCAGUGGUGAGGCCGGUGGGCUCUUUGUUGGUGGCGGACACCACCAAGGUGUACGUAACCAACCCAGACAAUGUGGGUAGGAGGGUAGACAAGGUAACCUUCUGGCGCGCUCCUAGGGUUCAUGACAAGUUCCUCGUGGACUCCAUCGAGCGGGCCAGAAAGGCUGCUCAAGCCUGCUUAAGCAUGGGUUACACUUAUGAGGAGGCAAUAAGGACUGUUAGGCCACAUGCUGCCAUGGGCUGGGGAUCUAAGGUGUCGGUUAAGGACUUGGCCACCCCUGCGGGGAAGAUGGCUGUCCAUGACCGGCUCCAAGAGAUACUUGAAGGGACUCCGGUCCCCUUUACCUUGACUGUGAAAAAGGAGGUGUUCUUCAAAGACCGUAAGGAGGAGAAGGCCCCCCGCCUCAUUGUGUUUCCCCCCUUGGACUUCCGGAUAGCUGAAAAGCUUAUUCUGGGAGACCCUGGGCGGGUUGCCAAGGCGGUGUUGGGGGGGGCUUAUGCCUUCCAGUACACCCCUAAUCAGCGGGUUAAGGAGAUGCUGAAACUGUGGGAGUCAAAAAAGACCCCGUGCGCCAUCUGCGUGGACGCCACAUGCUUCGACAGUAGUAUUACUGAAGAGGACGUGGCUCUUGAGACAGAGCUUUACGCUCUGGCCUCUGACCACCCAGAAUGGGUGCGCGCCCUGGGGAAAUACUAUGCCUCUGGCACCAUGGUCACCCCGGAAGGGGUGCCCGUGGGCGAGAGGUAUUGUAGGUCCUCAGGUGUACUCACCACUAGUGCCAGCAACUGCUUGACCUGUUACAUUAAGGUGAAAGCCGCUUGCGAUCGGGUGGGCCUCAAGAACGUGUCCCUCUUGAUCGCUGGCGAUGACUGUCUGAUCAUAUGCGAACGGCCUAUGUGCGACCCUAGCGAGGCCUUGGGCAGAGCCCUAGCUUCGUACGGGUACGCGUGUGAGCCUUCGUAUCAUGCAUCAUUGGACACAGCUCCCUUCUGCUCCACUUGGCUAGCCGAGUGCAAUGCUGAUGGGAAGCGUCAUUUCUUUCUUACCACGGACUUUCGGAGGCCAUUGGCUCGCAUGUCAAGCGAGUACAGUGACCCAAUGGCUUCGGCCAUUGGUUACAUCCUCCUUUACCCCUGGCACCCCAUCACACGGUGGGUCAUCAUCCCCCAUGUGCUGACAUGCGCAUUUCGGGGUGGUGGCACACCGUCUGAUCCUGUGUGGUGCCAGGUUCAUGGCAAUUACUACAAGUUUCCCUUGGACAAACUGCCUAACAUCAUCGUGGCUCUCCACGGACCAGCAGCGUUGAGAGUUACCGCAGACACAACAAAGACAAAAAUGGAGGCGGGCAAGGUGCUGAGCGACCUCAAGCUCCCGGGCCUGGCUGUCCACCGCAAGAAGGCCGGAGCACUACGGACACGUAUGCUCCGGUCGCGCGGUUGGGCAGAGCUGGCUCGGGGCCUGUUGUGGCAUCCAGGCCUCCGGCUCCCCCCCCCCGAGAUUGCUGGUAUCCCGGGGGGUUUCCCCCUGUCCCCCCCCUAUAUGGGGGUGGUUCAUCAAUUGGAUUUCACAGCCCAGCGGAGUCGCUGGCGGUGGUUGGGGUUCUUAGCCCUGCUCAUCGUGGCGCUCUUUGGGUGAACUAAAUUCAUCUGUUGCGGCAAGGUCGGCUGACUGAUCAUCAGCUGAGGAGGUUCCCGCUCUCCCCGCCCCAGGGGUCUCCCCGCUGGGUAAAAAGGGCCCGGCCUUGGGAGGCAUGGUGGUUACUAACCCCCUGGCAGGGUCAAAGCCUGAUGGUGCUAAUGCACUGCCGUUCGCGGCGGGUCGCUACCUUAUAGCGUAAUCCGUGACUACGGGCUGCUCGCAGAGCCCUCCCCGGAUGGGGCACAGUGCACUGUGAUCUGAAGGGGUGCACCCCGGUAAGAGCUCGGCCCAAAGGCCGGGUUCUACU